rnacentral:rRNA from 1 species
GGGGGUGUCUAUACAUGCAGUCAAGCGAGUUCUGAUUAUUGAAAGGUGCUUGCAUCUGGAAUUUAUUUUGAACGAGUGGCGGACGGGUGAGUAACACGUGGGUAACCUGCCCUUAAGUGGGGGAUAACAUUUGGAAACAUAUGCUAAUACCGCAUAAAUCCCAGAACCGCGAGGUUCUUGGCUGAAAGAUGGCGUAAGCUAUCGCUUUUGGAUGGACCCGCGGCGUAUUAGCUAGUUGGUGAGGUAACGGCGCACCAAUGCAAUGAUACGUAGCCGAACUGAUAGGUUGAUCGGCCACAUUGGGACUGACACACGGCCCACACUCCUACGGGAGGCAGCAGUAGGGAAUCUUCCACAAUGGACGAAGUCUGAUGGAGCAACGCCUCGUGAGUGAAGAAGGCUUUCGGGUCCUAAAACUCUGUUGUUGGAGAAGAAUGGUCGGCAGAGUAACUGUUGUCGGCGUGACGGUAUCCAACCAGAAAGCCACGGCUAACUACGUGCCAGCAGCCGCGUUAGUACGUAGGUGGCAAGCGUUUUCCGGAUUUAUUGGGCGUAAAGCGAGCGCAGGCGGUUUUUUAAGUCUGAUGUGAAAGCCCUCCGCUUAACCGAGGAGGUGCAUCGGAAAACUGGGAAACUUGAGUGCAGAAUAGGACAGUGGAACUCCAUGUGUAGCGGUGAAAUGCGUAGAUAUAUGGAAGAACACCAGUGGCGAAGGCGGCUGUCUGGUCUGUAACUGACGCUGAGGCUCGAAAGCAUGGGUAGCGAACAGGAUUAGAUACCCUGGUAGUCCAUGCCGUAAACGCUGAAUGCUAGGUGUUGGAGGGUUUCCGCCCUUCAGUGCCGCAACUAACGCAUUAGCCAUGUCGGCUAGGGAGUACGACCGCAACGUUGAAACUCGACGGAGUUGACGGGGGCCCGCACAAGCGGUUGUGCAUUUGCUUUAAUUCGAAGCAACGCGAACAACCUUACGACGUCUUGACAUCUUUCGAUCAGCUGAGAUAUCACGUUUCCCCUUCGGGGGCAAAAUGACAGGUGGUGCCUGGUUGUCGUCAGCUCGUCGUGAGAUGUUGGGUUAAGUCCCGCAACGAGCGCAACCCUUAUGACUAGUUGCCAGCAUUUAGUUGGGCACUCUAGUAAGACUGCCGGUGACAAACCGGAGGAAGGUGGGGAUGACGUCAAAUCAUCAUGCCCCUUAUGACCUGGGC